UAAUGGUUUUUGGGCCGAUGAUGAUGAUGAUGAUGAUGACCAUCAUCAACAUCAUCAUCAUCGUGAUGCCGA
rnacentral:pre_miRNA from 1 species